rnacentral:piRNA from 1 species
UGAGAAUCACUUCCUUAUUCCCCGUC